AUUUGGUACAGGAGGGGGCUGCCUGAAAGCCACUGCUGCAGGUGCACCAGGUAGAACCAAGACGCACUGCAGCGAGAGCAUGGCAGGCAGGCAGAGUGGCCUCAGAGACCAGGCUGCUGCUCGUGCCACUGUGCAAGGAGUGGAGUGGCGGGGCCUUUAAUCUUCUGAGUGGUUGGGACUGCUGCCAGGAGCCAGCUCCUUUCCCUGGAGGUGGCAGCAGAAUAUCCCCUCAUCUGUUCCUCUCCUGCCACCCAAAGACACAAAACAUGUGGGACCAAAAUUGGGGCUCCCUCCAGGUUACUCCUGUCAGAGAUCGUGGUGUAUGGCAGUAAAAUGUCCACAGGCACAGAAAGGCCAAGUUUAACAUCAACCUUUUCUUUUGGGGACACAAAGUGCUUUUGGGAACUAUACACAUGCUGCUCGCAGCCAAUGGGGACAACUUGUUUUUUAUGACUUGAAAAGUUGGUGCACGUCUAUGCUGGGUUCAGAUUUGGUUCUCCUUCCUUUCCAUGGGGCAUAUACAACACCAUCUUGCAAUCUCCUUCUGAGAAUCCUUAGCAAAGGCUCAAAAGAAGAGGAUAGAGGGAGUUAAAUGUGAAUCUACAUGAAGUAGUGUUACUGGUGGUCUUGUUCCAAAGCCUGAUUCAGUUUUUAAACUGUAAAAUCUAGCUCUGCAUUCAAAGGAAAGCUUCUCUGCUAAAGACAGUUAUUCUUAAAUGGUAAUUCCUCAUUGAAACAGGAUGUAAAUUCAGUGGCCAGCCAGACUAGAAGAUGACUUAAAAUUGUUCAUUAUUGUGGUUCCAUACAGGUAUCACAUGUAUCUAGUCCGGAAAAAUUUGAACUAGGAUUCAAAAAAAAAAAAAAAAAAAAAUCAGCCAAAAGGAAGCCCUUCUGCUCUGUUUAUUCUCCAAAAUACACUCCCCAAGCCCCACUCAUUUGAGAAACAAAUAGCUUGGCAACUGUAUAAGAUCUUCAAACACCUGUGCUCUACAAUUCUAAUUGUGGUUUAUACAGUUCACUUCUCUCAGUGCUGGUUAUGUCUGCCCCUAGCCUCUGACUGAAGACACAAAAUACAUAACCAACAGCUUAAAACAUUUAUUCUGAAGUAAAGCCAAGGUCAAAUACACACAAAAAUGUCACAUGCCAAAAAAAAAAAAAAAAAAAAAAAAUCAAGACCCGAGAAAAGGAUCUGAAUCAUGAAGCUAAUUAAAUACAGAAAAAUGAUGUUCAAAUCGUUUUUAAAGACGAAGAAACAAACUCAAAACAUACGACUGAUAUUAAACCCAUUUCAGCAUGAAAGGUGAGGAUUUUUUUCUCCUAAGUGCUUGUGAGAAGUGCCAGACUGAUCUCAGUGGGCCUAAGCUCUUAUCUUCAGACUAGAUACACGAUGAACAGGCUACCUCCAACAGAUGUGCCUCACCCCUGACCUCUAGGGCAGUGAUGUGCUUCCAACAUUUUAACAAGGAGAUCUCUCAACAUUUUUCCACCUCAGUCUGUGACAAAACAUUCCCUGAGGAAAGUAUUCUCUUCACUCCCACCCCUCCUGUGCAAAAUAUCCAUCUGUUCCACAGGUCCCCCACAAAACCUAUCAAUCUUUCCACACACACCCCAAAUCCACCAAUGCAUCCACCCUCAACCGCUGGGCCCAGUAACAAUUGACAUACCAUGCUUCCCCUGCCCCAGCACCUCAUAGAAGCUCCUCUAGGUGGUGGCUUCCCUACCUAACAACCUUUGGUGACAGCAGUGAGAGCAAACAGAUUGUACUGAGGUCUCUGGCUGUGGGAUGGCUGAGUGGGGAGUGGGUCACCACUCGUAGUGAGCUGAGGGAGAGCAUAGUUGCAUGGGAAAAGGGUCCUUUUUGGUUCCUAAGGUAAGCAAGCGUCCCCUGGUGGAAGCUGGUGUGUGCACAUGGGAGACUGGGUAGAGGGGUUCUACCCUAACUGAUGUGUAAUGUUGGAAACGGCCCCUAGCUUGGGUGGGGUAGUAGGUCUCUACAGGCUCGUAGUGAUGAAGGGCUCUCUCAAAGUAACAGCUCUUUAAAGACCAACCUGAAGCUAGCCAGGCCUUGGAUAAUUCUGAGCACAGAAGCCAGUGACAACAAAGGGAUUAGAGUUGUCAGGGUAGAGAGAAUUACAUAUUCACAGUACAGUAACUGAAAAAUAUUGUGUAGUGAUUAUGUAAAUCUCUAGACUCCCACUGGCUAAUAACGGCUGUCCGACAGCCAGAAUAUAGGGAUGCAAACUGUAUGGUUAUGCAAGUCAGGACACCCACAAUCAGAGUGCAGGGAAAUGCAUUAAAGGAAAAAAUUCUUUAUGGUUAUGGGUCAGGAACUAUACAGAAUCCUUGCCCUCUGAAUGGCUGAGACAACUCCCUUUGAGUAGGAUAUGUAAUAGCUUGACAUUUAUAUUUACUAACGAAAGAUGAGUUGUGAGAUGGGUUUGAAUUGUUUAAUUUAAAUUCCGUUGACAAGGACUGUGAGAAGAGGGGCCUGGGUGAAUGAAGGGAAUGCGCCAAUAUUCUAAACUUAUUUGCCCAAAGUUGUGUGUUCACCUACUUUCUAGAACUGUAACUUGAAAUUUAACGAUUGUAAAAUAUUUCUUACAUUACAGGUGCAAUGUGAGGUUAAUGUCUGUAAAAUGUUAUGAGGUCCUCAGAAGGCAGACCGUAUAUACAUGCAAAGUAUUAUUUUAAAAUAAAUAUAUAUAAACAUAAUGAUCUCUUAAUCCAUUUAAAAAAAAAAUCCAGAUGUUAGAUUUUUCCUUAACAUACAGUCUAAUCCUCAAGAACCCUUGUUGGAACAACAGUUUUCAGUGGAGGAGAUAAACGUAAUCCCAGAUGCCAUAAUGAAUUAGCAAAGAUUAAAGACCUGUUCGGGAAAAGAAGAGUGGAUUCUUAUCAGUGAACUGUACUAUUUGCUUUAAACUGGAAAGAAACAGAAGGUCCCUUUCUCAAUCAGUAAAACACUGAUACAAUAAAAAAAUCCUAACUGUGCCCUAAUUAAUGUUUUCCAAGCAGUAUUCUACAUGUAAAAGUAACAGCACCUGAUUCAUAUCCAGUAUCCCAGGGCUAGGGCCAGGGACUUCCUCCUAGCAAGAGUCAGGAACUAUGGAACUGUAGGAGGGCAGGAGCACAAGGAACUGAGCGGCAGCGCACCAUCUCAGCUGGAGGAAGAGGAACAGCAGCUUUACAACUAGCUGGACAUCACUGAUGUUGAAAGACUCUUUCUUCUUUACUAUGAACUAUGGAUUUCUUUCCUCUUUGCUGAUUGGCUGUUAGCGCUACCUUCUUCCCACCCCACUUCCUCGCAGUCUCUUAGUUGCCAGCCUCACUCUCCCUGUCCUACAGGAUCCUUUCUGCUCAUGUGCCAUUAACCUCCCUGGACUGAGGAAAUGUUACAAUUCCGAAGGGAGUUUGAGGAGGAAAGAUAAACAAUUUUGCCAAACUGAAUCCAAGUUGGUGCUAGACAUCAGGGAAUAAACAUCUAUUUAGGGAAUUCACAUGGCUCCCAUAACAUCUGAACCCUGUUGGAGAUACAGUCAAGGAUAUAAAUGAACAGAGAGGAAGAGGUAGAUUAGGAGGAGUCAAAAAUCAGGACUUGAAUUAUACGUAUGUGUGAGAGGAGUUCUGUGCUCUACCAAGCUCUGCCCAUGAGCCAACACCCACCUACCGGAGAUGCCAAAAUGAGACACCACUCACAGCACAUUGCGUAGAUAUUCAAAAUAUAAACAUGAAGGCUUUGCUGGGAUCCUUAGACGUGGUUCUCCCUAAAUGGAUUCAAGUAUACUCAUGAGUAAGCCAAAUUAAAGGCACACGCAUAACAUAUACAUGCCUAGGGCCCCAGCUCCCAGACACAUAGGAUGACAUCAAAAUCACCUCUUCCAUAAAAGGAAAGCUUAAAAACAUGAUGCGAGUGUAACCAAUGCAAUGAUGUCAGCCUGAGUACGCAGACAGCCUCUGGCAGAGGGACAAACAGAAGCAAUUAGAGGCAGGGGAGAAAGCACGUGGCCCACACCCAUUACAAGAGCAGACCAUAUCCCCACUGCUCUGGAUGGGUGGG